GCUAAUUUGCUAUUGAAUUCUAUAAAACUUCUCACUCCAAAAGAAGCUUAACAUAUUCCUCACGGGGACAAAUGUUAAAUUUACAGACAAAUCUAUCUAAUAUUUGUAUAUAUGGCUAAACUCUAGCGUCGAAAUUUUUAGUUUCUGAUAGAAUCUCCAUCGGAAUCCAGAAUCUCAAAACUGAAAUUCUUAGAAGGGUAAAAUAGGGUUUUUAUAAAAUGAAUUUUAAGUUUUUCUUGAUGUGUUUUAAUAAAUAAACAAAAAAGAGUUUUAUAAAGGUUUUAAGGUUCGGCCGCCGAACCUUCAAGUUCGAUCGCCGAAGGUGGCUUCUCCAGCCACCUAACUCUUUCUCCAUUUCCGGGCAGAGAUUGAGUUGUAUUUCAAAGUUCUAGCUUUUGGGACCUUCGGAGCUCAUCUCUCCAUCUCCUAAACCCUCCCUUGCUUGCUGUCAUUUUCGUGUUCUUCAAGAGCCCUCGAAUAUGUUAUGAUGGAUACGGAAGUCCAAGUCGAGACCCAUUCUACGCCAUUGGCAAUAUGUAAGAGAAAGUUCAGAUCGAGACCCAUUCUACGCUCCUGGCAAUAUGUAAGAGAAAGUUCAGAUCGAGACCCAUUCUACGCUCCUGGCACUAUGGAUAUAUUAUGUUAUGUUUAUGGAUAUAUUAUGUUUAAGAGGAAGUCUUGAAGAGCACUAAUCGUGGGCUAACACUAUUGGAAUCUGGAAAGCGUUAUUGGUGACAAGUCCAUUUUGAUGUGAAUUGUUGUGUUGUGACGCAUU